CAAACCCCUAUAACAAAGGAGUGGUUGAUAACUUCAAGGAGAUAUUUUGCUCCAGUAUUCCAUCAUCCAAGAACAACUUCAGGGAAAAGGUGCCCAGGGAACCUGUGCUACCAACACGACCAGGUGGUUUUAUGAGUCCAAAUAUGGGGAAGGCUGUGGACGACAUAGAAAUGGGUAGGAAGACAGUGUGGGGUGAUAUUGGUGCUGGCACUGAUCAUUGUGAAGGGCAACUCAUAAGUGACCGAGUAAAUGUUAAGGAGGGUGAAUUAGGAGAUUUAUCUCCAGAUAUUAGAAGUACAGUAGAUGACACAGGUGACCGUUCUGGUAUACAUCCCAGGCGGUCUAGUUGGGGUAGAAAAAGUGGUCGAUGGGAAAUGUCACCUGAAGUUCUUGCUUUGGCAGCUAGAGUGGGGGAACCAAACCGAAUCGGUGGAGGUAGCAGUAGCAACAAUUUGAUAACCGAAAGCCGCCCGACAUGACCAAUGUCAUGAUAUUGAAUGUACGAUAUGGAAAAGGGAUUGACUGCUAAGGUUCCGUUUUUCUUGUUUCAAUCAUGUGUAAUAUGG
rnacentral:lncRNA from 1 species